rnacentral:lncRNA from 1 species
GAAAAAGAACAGCAAGAGCAAUAUUGCUAAGAUUAGUAGCAUGAGUAGGAUCAGCAGCGGCCGACCGCCAUCUUCUGAGAGUCCGCGGUGCAUUCCCUCAUCUCUCUCCUGGACCGUUGUCCUUGGGUAGAGGCUUAGCUGACUGGUGGGCGGCUCCCAGCAUCUAAAGGUACAGCUACAUUUUCUUGUAGAGUGAUCAUCCCUGCUUCUGGCAACCACAGUUGCAGCUCUGACCCAGGGACAACAGCAUAAGGGUGUAAAUUGCUCCAGACAAAAAUCCAACCAAAUUUGGGUUCCAUUGAAGAGAUCCAUCAGAGGGCCAUUUCCAGAGACUCUGACUGGUUGUUUAAGAAUAAUUGUCACGGGCCGCCCCAGGGCCGAGUGGUUAAGUGGUUAAGUUCCCACGCUCUGCUUUGGCGGUGCAGGGUUCGGAUUCUGGGCGUGGACAUGGCACGCAUCAGGCCAUGUUGAGGCGGUGUCCCACAUGCCACAACUAGAAGGAUCCACAACUAAAAAAUAUACAACUAUGUACUGGGGGGAUUUGGGGAGAAAAAGGCAGGAAAAAAAAUAAGAUUUAAAAAGAAAAAAGGAGAAUAACUUUCACCAGUUUCAUUGGGAAGCAUGUCCACAAGAGCUUGUCACACUGUCAUACCAGAAGUAGAAUUCUCCAUUAACAUAUUUUUUCUAUGUAAGUUAUUAUGAGAUAGGUUAUUAAUGUCAAAUAAAAUAUUAAUUUUCAUCAUCUGUUCUUGUCAAUUCUUCAUUUUUACUUUCUAAACUGUUGCAUGCCACACUUGUGUA